rnacentral:lncRNA from 1 species
AAUUAAUCAAAUCUCUUCAACAGUAGCGCCACACUUAACAAACUCAAAUUUCCAUAGCAUGACAACGCAGAGAAAGGAUGGAAAGAAAACAAUGAAAAAGGUAAGGUCUUCUACGACGCACAAAACAACAAUCAAAAUUACUACCUGCUGCUAUUACCUUGAUGCCGACAAUGAACUCGUUCAAAAAAUUGAACUGAAGACCAUCAUGCGUUCAUUGUUUCUACAUAACAAAACUACUCCUAUGGCAUUCAUAGCCCUCUACAGCCAAGCAAGUCCCAGCCUCAUUCACGAUUAAU